GACUUGGUAGGCCCAGCAAAGUUUCUGGGGACAUGCAGAGCUUCACGUCAUUCCUUAUAACUCAUCCAGUUUUAAAUGCAGACCUGUAUCACUUGUCACGUAACUGGAGCUUCCUCAAGUGAGAAGUACAAAAUCUAAACAGUUCCGUGCUGCUUCAGAGCAAAAGAUUUGAGUCAGCCCCCAAAGAGAUAAUACUAAAAAUCAGUUCAAACCCAUACAAGGGAUAAAUACAUACAACUCAUUUGUUGUUUUCAAAGUGAACUAAAAAUUGGCUUAUGUCCAUGUCCUACCUCGGCAUCUUCCCAAGAUGUGUCCUUGACUGACGGGGCAUCACCAGAGAUGUCCAUUACAAUCCUACUGACGUCUUCCCAUUUCAGCAGCCCGAAGAAAAUGACAACCAUCUGGAAGCCAGUGGAGAUAUUUGAAUGGGGAAAAUCUUUUCCUAACCUGACUCAAGAUCUGACCCAACAGACCCGUGUUAGUGAGGGCUUUGUGUUAUGGAUCUGAUGGACAGAUCGAAAUUGUGCUACAGAGAAAGUACUUUGGGACCUUUGUGGAAAAAGACAUUUCUAGAGAUUUGUCCAUGGGAAGCAAAUUAAGCACCUGGACAAGUCUCUGUCUUCCAAUCAUGAAGGAGCCCGCAGAACUCUCCUGCCUGCCUGCCUGCUCCCUGCACAGUUACGCUUGCUUCACCCAAUAGAUCCCUCAGAUCUCAGCCCAAUAAUUUCUGAGACAGGGAGACUUCUUUACACACCUGAUUGCAUAAUAUCAAAAGAAAACUAAGAUAAUAAUAUGAACAUUGGUAAAAGUAUCAUUAUUUGUGGUGCAUGGAGGAGAGCACAACCUUUGAAAGACCCAGACUUCUUACACAAAUUAAAUGAGAUAUUAAUGGAGUCCAAGGAGUCUCAUUGUUUAAAAAUUACUUUGAAUUUUAACAUCUCAGUUUGGGAAUGUAGCAGCAUGUGGAAAUAG
rnacentral:lncRNA from 1 species